rnacentral:rRNA from 1 species
GAUGAACGCUGGCGGCGUGCCUAAUACAUGCAAGUCGAGCGAACGGACGAUAAUUUUGCUUCUCGCUUGUUAGCGGCGCGCGGGUGAAUAACACGUGUAUAACGUACCUAUAUGUCUGGUAUAAUUUCGGAAAACGGGAUCUUACACCGUAGGAUAUUUUGAACCGCAUUGUGCAAAAGUAAAAGUCGGUCUUUCUGGAUCUAAUAGAGGCAUCUCCGCUUCAUUGUCUAGUUGGUAAGUUAACGGCUUAUCAAGGCAACGAGGCAUAGACGACAUGAGAGGGGGAUAGGCCGCCCUGGAACGGAGCCACGGUCAAGACUCCUACGGGAGGGAGCAGAAGGGAAUCUUCCGCAAAGGGCGAAAGCAUGACGGAGCAACGCGGAGUGAGUGAUGAAGGCCUUCGGAUCGUAAAACCCUGUUAUUAGGGAAGAACAUCUGUGUAAGUAAAUGUGCAGUUCUUGACGGUAAUUAAUCAAAAAGCAACGGCUAACUACGUG